GUGUAACUGGCAGAAUGGCUCAUUUAAUAUUGGAUUUUCAUUAAAGAAUUGGACUCAGUCUUUUGGGAUAGAUGCAGAUUCGGUGACAGACUAUGUUGUAGAUUUACUUCUGGAAGAACUUGGAAUAGCCAAAUUUAUGUCUGAACCAAAAUGUAACAGAGCAGUUUCUCCCUAUAGUCCUAGUUAUGAUGGAUGGAAUACAACUUGUGAGAAACCUAUUGAUCUUCAGCCACUGCCAGGACCAGUGACUUGUAAUAUUCCAGAUAUCUGUACAGGGGUAGAAUGUUGUAUUGAUGUGGAUCCUAUAAAACGAUCAUUCCAUAUGUUUGUUUUCCUUGAUGCUUGCUCUAACAGACUGAGGAUUGGAAUUGAAAAAUAUGAAAUUGAUAUUUCACUGUUUGAUUAUAA